GAAUACAUUAAUAUUAUGAACAGCAGCUAUGCUAAUUAUUUCCCAUUUCCUUUUCUUCUGUUAUCUCAGGACGCUAGUCCUGAGGAAAAUGGCGUUCGUCAGCUCCAGUUUGUAUUCAGCCUCUCACGGAGACUUCAGAUGCCCCAACAUCUGCAAUAAGACGACUAAAUGCCUGUGAAGAGACGACUCGACGCCUAUAAGCGAACCGGACACUCCUCCCUCCUUAUGUAAUGCCAUUGUCUCUUCUUCUUCUCCUGAGAUGAUUUCGCCCCCCUGUAUUCCCUGUAGAAAUGGUAUCACCCAACUCCACCGCUUGAGCGGGAACUUGGGAAAGGUUUUGUGGAAAUAAACUGUCAAGUGUAAUUUAACGCCAGGCACCGGAACCUGAUGAGAAAACAUGAGCUGGAGCCUGGCCAACAAAAGGAAAGCUUGCUGGUGAUUCAUUGGACCAGACCACACCAGGGUCCCCCAUUCCAACGGGAGAUAAUAAGGCCAUUUAUAUGGGUGUCAGUGGACAGGAAGCACGACCAUAUCUGGACUCUGAAGGGCAGACAAUCAAGUCUUCUGAAGGAAAUGUUGGAAGGUGAAAGCUGAUUUAAAAAAAUACCUUUAUGUUCUGCAUAUAUGUAUGUGGAUGUCUUUUAAUUAGAGGACAACUUUGGUAUUUUAAACUUAAAGCCCUGUUUUAAGAUCGUUUAUGAUGAAAUAGACUGGUUAAGAUUUAAAUUUGGACACAUGCUGCUGGACCGAGAAUUUUCGGUUUCUGUGGUUGUACCCCCCACCUCCAUAAUGGUUGCAUAGGUGCACUGGAACAAUCCUUCCUAAAACGCAUUAAACUUUAGUUUAUAAAGACGUGAAACUCACCGGUCUGGGGUGUUCACUGAUAUGUUCACACAAAAAUCGCUGCAAAAGAUGCUUUCCAACAAGUUUUAUCAUAUUUGUUGUCCCAACCAAGAGCAACAUCAAUAUUGUAAAGCAUUUGCAGGACAGACUUUUUCACCUAAAAUGACUAAAUGUUGCUGACUCUAAACUAGUAAACUAGCAAAACUUUAACCCCCCCCCCCCAUUGUGGAGCGUUCACAAUAGUUAAAAAUUUUUUUUUUAACCACUAGAGGGCCAAAAGGUAUAGAGUACCUAAAGUUUACAGCGUUUAUUAAAAUGAAUAAAAAGUUAAAUAUAUAUAACUUGAAAUGUAUUUAUGUAACAUUAACUUACAUUAAUAAAGCUAGUUAUCACAAAGUAAUGCUUUAAUGAUACCUCUAAAUUAGAGAAGGAUCGUCUAUUCCUUAUGUAUAAACCAUGCAGACUUUUAUAGUAUAAUAGUAAUUAUAGUUUAUAAUUCUGUACGGUGGGAUGCUAUCCCUUCAAAUGUCUGCCGAUGGGACAGGUAUUUCUAAUUUACACACAGUGAUUACCAAAGUCAUUUUAAUGAAUAUCAUUGCGAUUUUGCAAGCUGUAAAGCAUAUCAUUACCAUUGGGCUUUUACACACUAGCCUAACUAGGGAUGCGUUCAGCAAAGCCAUAACAAAGUCGUUAAAUCCAUUUAAAAAGAGCCUUAUUUGAGAAGCAAUAAAACUUUAAAUUAUUUUAUUACCAAAAGAGUAUUUAACAAGUAGCUGAUUAAAUGCCAAAGGCAGGUUAUCUAAGUUUAACCUUCAGAAGAGAAAAUGAUCAGAGUCUGCCCCUGGCAUUGUUGGAUAGAAAUAUCAUCCCCCAUUAUCUUUCCACACCUGAAGUUGCAAAUGGCCUUUUGUGGGAGGCAGGGAAGAAAAUUGUGAUUCAAUUAAUGACCGUCUUUAUGUGAGAGGGGGAUAGUAUGGAGGGAGAGGGGCUGGAGCUGAGUGUACCGACUCUGAGUACUAGCAGUAGCUUCUGUUAGAUGGAUUGCAUUUGUGUAAUAUAAGAAUAUAUGAUGAUGUAUAUGUGUCAUAUGGCUGCACUCAUGUGUCAUCAAUUCACUUCAUUAUAAAUGAUGAUGACAAAUAAUUAUUAAACAUUGGUAAAAUUAGGACAAUACUUUAAAAUAUUGUAUAUAUAAAUAGUUUUUUCCCCAUAAUUCCACCUGUUUUUGAGUAUAUGUAUGAUAGAUACAACAAUAUUUUAUAAUCAAGUUACUCAUAAUGCCCCUCACGCUUAAUUAAAAAGUGCCCUGCACUUAUUUGCAUACAAAAUACAUUUAAACCAUGAAAAAUAGAAAAUAAAUACACAAUCAUCUAUGAAAUAUUGCUCAUACCUUGCUGACCGUUCAUAAUUAUUCUUUUAAUUAUCUGACAUAUAAUUUGAGUGCUGUGGCUUCUCGGGGUUGCGGGUAUUAGGUUGUAAAUAUUAACGGACGCCGGCAAUUCACUCACAAGAGGGUUGCAAAAGUAAUGAACAAUGUGACGGCUGAGUCUUAAUUAAGCAGGAAACGCCUAGACCGGAUCAGGUCUGGACCACCAGAGAGACAGUUCAAUAACACGGUCUAAUCACAAACUUACCAAUUUGUUGCUCAUCCAUUUAUUUCAAAUAUGGUCAUUAAUUUAAAUCCAUAACAUUGAGCAAAAAAAAAGAUCCCACAAAUGAGCAAAUGUAUUUUACCAAACCUUGUGAUUUGGUAGUGAUUAUAAAUGAUGUAUUUUUACAACUUUAAAAGCAACACAAUAAAUCUGUGCAUUUACAACGUUCCUGUAAGGUGUUAAUUGUUGUAU